UUCCGAAACACCGCCGCCGCCCAAAUAAUUCACGCGUUGAGUUUGUAACGCGUUGAGUUUUUGACGCGUUGAAGAAUGAAGAAGUAGCCGUUUUUUUGACCGUUGGGGGAUGAUUGUUGCUGCAUUUGACCAACAACAACAGCAGCAAGACAGCAGCUCCGGCAACAACAACAACAACAGCAACAACAAAAGCUCCAUUGUUGCUGAUCUUCUGCGUGUCCACCAGAGAAACCGUCGGCGUCGGAGCUCCGGCAACAACCUAUUCUCGUCAUUCGGUCCCCAAUAGCAGGUAUUCUUAGGUGAUUGUGGGUCGAUUUCACUGUGUGAGCGAAAGCCCCAUAUCAAUUUAGGAGAUUAUAAGCUUAUCUCCUUCAAUUUUGUGUUAACUUGAACUAGGGUUCAUGGUGAUUAUGUAUGUGAUUUUUUUUCUUUUGAACGGCCAUGAAUAUUUAUUUGUGUUAAUUUAUAAUUUAAAAAAAUUAAAAAAUUAAAAAAUUUGUGAGUGAUGGAAUUUGUACAAGUGAUGACCAUUUCCAGCAAAAAAGGAUGUGAGUGAUGGAAAUAAUGGUUGAUAAUAUGGCAGAACCUGAUUGGAUGUUGUGAGUGAUGGAAUUGUUUCUGAGUUAUACCACCCCUACCCCCUUAGACAGCUCGUGAUCUUAGCCCUUUAAAUUCAUUUAAACCUUCUAGAAUGGGAGGUUGAGGACGGUUCCAAGAGGUUACAGCACUUCCACUAUUUUAACCCCACUACCACGAUACAAGAAACUACCAUUAGACAGCCCGUGUUCUACAAAAUCAGAAGAGGAAUAGCAAGACGGAGAGGUACAAUUUGAUUCCUAUAUACGGUUUAGGGUAUAAUUCAUGCUACUGUCCUUGUAUACGUGUUGUUUUCAUUGUCGCUAUCAUCUUCAGUAGUAUCGCGUAUAUGUGCAUCAAUCGAUGGUACAAGCUCGGCUGAUUAUAUAGGCCUUGAUCUGAUCCUUCCAAGGUGCAGAACUGUUCUCUCAAAGCUUUUUAUGGUGAUUAACUAACAAAAUUGGGUUUGUUUAUGACUUAUUUUUUCAGUUCUGAAGCAAAUUAAUCGAAAUUGCAAACAACGCUCAUUCUGGCGCUGGCUCAGUUACAAGCAUUGUCAUGUUCAUUUUUUUUUGCAAGGUGAAUUCUGAGGUUGUUGGAGAUAUAAAAAAACCAGCUUAAGAUUUGUGGAAAAGGAUGAAAGUGGUUGACAAUGGAGGUUAUGUGGUUGUCAGGACGAAGAUGCUGAUCACUUAUUCACAUCAUGUGUUGUAUCCACGGUACUACGGCAAAAGAUUAGUUCAUGGUGCAACAUUCCCCAACUGUUUGGUUUCAAUGUUAGGGAUCUACAUCUACUACAAAAUCACAGCACUUUAAAGUUUAAAUGUAUGAGAACACAAAUAGAGAUUGAUUAGAGUGGUGAUUUUAGCCACAUGUUGGAUGAUUUGGAAGGCACAAAACGAAGUUAUUUUUGCCAGAAAACGGGUCAACAUCAACGGGGUUUUUGGAGAAGUUCAAGCAAUGACAUACCUUUGGGUCAAGAAUAGGGCGAGGCGAAACAAUAGAGCGUUGGCUAAUUGGGUGACGUUUAAUAUUUCGACAAUGUGAAUGUAACUUGGUUAACCUGUAGGUUUGCUAGGUGAUGUAAUGUGUUUGUCUCCAGCAACUUGCUAGUGACAUCUGUACAUAUUUGGUGAUAUGAAAUGAAUGUUGUUUGCCAAUCAAAAGAAGAUAAAA